rnacentral:misc_RNA from 1 species
GAUGAAGAACGUAGCGAAAUGCGAUAAGUAAUGUGAAUUGCAGAAUUCAGUGAAUCAUCGAAUCUUUGAACGCACAUUGCGCCCGCCAGUAUUCUGGCGGGCAUGCCUGUUCGAGCGUCAUUACAACCCUCAGGCCCCCGGGCCUGGCGUUGGGGAUCGGCGGAAGCCCCCUGCGGGCACAACGCCGUCCCCCAAAUACAGUGGCGGUCCCGCCGCAGCUUCCUUUGCGUAGUAGCUAACACCUCGCAACUGGAGAGCGGCGCGGCCACGCCGUAAAACACCCAACUUCUGAAUGUUGACCUCGAAUCAGGUAGGAAUACCCGCUGAACUUAAGCAUAUCAAUAAGCGGAGGA